rnacentral:rRNA from 1 species
UACAGGGGGGGCAAGCGUUGUUCGGAAUUACUGGGCGUAAAGAGCUCGUAGGUGGUUUGUCGCGUUGUCCGUGAAAACUCACAGCUCAACUGUGGGCGUGCGGGCGAUACGGGCAGACUGGAGUACUGCAGGGGAGACUGGAAUUCCUGGUGUAGCGGUGGAAUGCGCAGAUAUCAGGAGGAACACCGGUGGCGAAGGCGGGUCUCUGGGCAGUAACUGACGCUGAGGAGCGAAAGCGUGGGGAGCGAACAGG